GACAGAGGGUGCAAACGUUGUUCGGAAUUACUGGGCGUAAAGCGUGUGUAGGCGGUCCACUAAGUCGGGUGUGAAAGCCCUGGGCUCAACCCAGGAAGUGCACUCGAAACUGGCGGGCUAGAGUAUCGGAGAGGUUGGUGGAAUUCUCGGUGUAGAGGUGAAAUUCGUAGAUAUCGAGAGGAACACCGGUGGCGAAGGCGGCCAACUGGACGAAUACUGGCGCUGAGACACGAAAGCGUGGGGAGCAAACAGG
rnacentral:rRNA from 1 species